ensembl:lncRNA
CGCGAUAUGUGGCUGCACCGUAACGGUCUCAACAUCUUCAACCUCAAAACCGUGAAAAAACAAACAAAGAAAAACAUGUUUUGCUGGACGAGCAGCAGCGUGGGCUCGGAGCCGCUCGACGGCGUCGCUAACAUGUCUAAGAGCGACAUACUGAGAGGAAUCAUCACUGAGAAACUGAGCACAGCCGCCCGGGAGAUCUUAGCGGUGGUGGAGAGGACGAUAGCUGACUACGAGGAGGAGGUCGCGGGCUUCAGACAGGAGAUCGACCGGCAGAGGAGACUGCUGGAGCUUCUGCAGCCUCGGGUCAAGCUUGAGAGAAGAGAUGCACAUAUCAAUUUGGAAUUCUGCCUCAAAGCCAGAAUUACAGGAAUGCACCACGUGUUGCAGAAGACUUUUUCACUGCCCUCUGUGCCCCACUUUCAGCCCUACUGUCAGGGCAGUGAUUGAGGAGCAUAUAAAUGGACACAUUAAAAAUGCUUUGCCUUUUAAAGAUAAAAUGAUAUGCCGGUGCAGACUGCCAUGUAGGACAACAGGACACUUUCACUGUCCUGUCUGUAACAUGACAAUCAUACGGCGUGGGGAUAUGGCAAGGCAUUUAUUGUCAUGUCAGCAUUCUUCAAUAGCUAGUCAGCCACCACUAUCAGGACUGCUCCCCACUGCACUCUCCAAGGAGCCCCGUCGCCCUCUCAUUGUCUUCUCUCCAGCAUCUAAACCAUUUUCUGAGUCUUCGGUAGAACAUGCUUAUGCUCUACCCUCUGUGCUAAAUAAAGUCCAUGAAAAUGAAAUGCCCUCACUGUGGUCUUAGUCUUCUUUAAAAAAAAAAAAGGCCUCAAGGCUCACAUGAUGAGGAGGCAUUCAAACAGAUCAUUCAAACAGAUCAAUAGAUGUUUGCCUGGCCUGGCAUCUGCAGUAUUUUUGUGUAGAGGGACUUCUUCCUCUUUGUUUUUCAGUUUGCAGAGGACAUGGAGCUCUUUUUAAAUGUGCUGACGAGCAGGGACUAUGGGUCAAUGCGAUGUUUGACAUUUAAUGGAGAGAUGAAGGAACUGGCUGUUUGGGUUUUGUUUUUUGUUUUUUUUAAUGUGUUGUUAGGUUGUUGUUUUGUUUUUGUUUUUUUUCAGUGUACAGAAUUCCAAUUAAAGUUAUUUCAAAAUGUUGUUUACUUGUUUCCAUGUCCAUACUUACAGUAAAACAUUACAGUGUAAAUGUAACAGCAUUGUUUUAUAUUGUUUUAUUGUUUUAUACUUGAAACUUCAAAUUUAAAAGCUUAGAGUUGCUAUUAACAUUAAUGUAUUACCCUGUAAUCAAUAACAUUUUUAUACAUUUUAUGCAUUAAGCCUCUGGGCUUUGUGCUGGCCAUUUGUAGCCACUUCACUUUUAUUUAUUUAUUUAUUACCAUUUUUGCAUCAAAUAUUACAUAGACUGCAGUGAAUUUAUUGAGCUUUGAGGUUCCC